GGAGUUAGCCGGUGCUUCUUCUGUGAGUGAUGUCCUUCCUGCCGGUUAUUGACCCGCAGGCCUUCUUCCUCACUGAAAGUGCUUUACAACCCGAAGGCCUUCUUCACACACGCGGCAUGGCUGGAUCAGGGUUGCCCCCAUUGUCCAAUAUUCCCCACUGCUGCCUCCCGUAGGAGUCUGGGCCGUGUCUCAGUCCCAGUGUGGCUGAUCAUCCUCUCAGACCAGCUACGGAUCGUCGCCUUGGUGAGCCGUUACCUCACCAACCAGCUAAUCCGACAUAGGCUCAUCCGAUAGCGCGAGGCCCGAAGGUCCCCCGCUUUCCCCCGUAGGGCGUAUGCGGUAUUAGCCUGGGGUUUCCCCAGGUUAUCCCCCACUACCGGGCAGAUUCCUAUGCAUUACUCACCCGUCCGCCGCUCGCCACCAGGGAGCAAGCUCCCCGUGCUGCCGCUCGACUUGCAUGUGUAGCUGCCGCAGCGUCAUCUGAGCGAGAUACAACUCUGA
rnacentral:rRNA from 1 species